CUGAUGCUGAACUGUGGCUGCGGUUGAAUAGUCAAAUUAGUUUAGGAAGGUUCCUAACGGAGUGAAAUGACCCGGAAGUAGUU